UAGGAUAGGUGGGAGGCUUUGAAGUGUGGACGCCAGUCUGCAUGGAGCCGACCUUGAAAUACCACCCUUUAAUGUUUGAUGUUCUAACGUGGACCCGUUACCCGGGUUGCGGACAGUGUCUGGUGGGUAGUUUGACUGGGGCGGUCUCCUCCUAAAGAGUAACGGAGGAGCACGAAGGUUGGCUAAUCCUGGUCGGACAUCAGGAGGUUAGUGCAAUGGCAUAAGCCAGCCUGACUGCGAGCGUGACGGCGCGAGCAGGUGCGAAAGCAGGUCAUAGUGAUCCGGUGGUUCUGAAUGGAAGGGCCAUCGCUCAACGGAUAAAAGGUACUCCGGGGAUAACAGGCUGAUACCGCCCAAGAGUUCAUAUCGACGGCGGUGUUUGGCACCUCGAUGUCGGCUCAUCACAUCCUGGGGCUGAAGUAGGUCCCAAGGGUAUGGCUGUUCGCCAUUUAAAGUGGUACGCGAGCUGGGUUUAGAACGUCGUGAGACAGUUCGGUCCCUAUCUGCCGUGGGCGCUGGAGAACUGAGGGGGGCUGCUCCUAGUACGAGAGGACCGGAGUGGACGCAUCACUGGUGUUCGGGUUGUCAUGCCAAUGGCACUGCCCGGUAGCUAAAUGCGGAAGAGAUAAGUGCUGAAAGCAUCUAAGCACGAAACUUGCCCCGAGAUGAGUUCUCCCUGAGACUUAGAGUCUCCUGAAGGAACGUUGAAGACGACGACGUUGAUAGGCCGGGUGUGUAAGCGCAGCGAUGCGUUGAGCUAACCGGUACUAAUGAACCGUGAGGCUUAACCUUACAACGCCGAAG
rnacentral:rRNA from 1 species